rnacentral:rRNA from 1 species
UACGUAGGGGGCAAGCGUUGUCCGGAUUUAUUGGGCGUAAAGAGCGUGUAGGCGGCCACACAGGUCAGCUGUGAAAACUCGAGGCUCAACCUCGAGACGUCGGUUGAAACCGUAUGGCUAGAGUCCGGAAGAGGAGAGUGGAAUUCCCGGUGUAGCGGUGAAAUGCGCAGAUAUCGGGAAGAACACCCGUGGCGAAGGCGGCUCUCUGGGACGGUACUGACGCUGAGACGCGAAAACGUGGGGAGCGAACAGG